UACAGAGGUCCCAAGCGUUGUUCGGAUUCAUUGGGCGUAAAGGGUGCGUAGGCGGUGCGGUAAGUCGGGUGUGAAAUCUCGGGGCUUAACUCCGAAACUGCAUUCGAUACUGCCGUGCUUGAGGACUGGAGAGGAGACUGGAAUUUACGGUGUAGCGGUGAAAUGCGUAGAUAUCGUAAGGAAGACCGGUGGCGAAGGCGGGUCUCUGGACAGUUCCUGACGCUGAGGCACGAAGGCCAGGGGAGCAAACGGG
rnacentral:rRNA from 1 species